rnacentral:rRNA from 1 species
CAUGUGGUUAAUUCGAUGCAACGCGAAGAACCUUACCAGGUCUUGACAUCCCACGAAUUCAUCUGAAAGGAUGGAGUGCCUUCGGGAGCGUGGAGACAGGUGGUGCAUGGUUGUCGUCAGCUCGUGUCGUGAGAUGUUGGGUUAAGUCCCGCAACGAGCGCAACCCUUGCUAUUAGUUGCUAACAGGUAGAGCUGAGCACUCUAAUGGGACUGCCGGUGACAAGCCGGAGGAAGGUGGGGAUGACGUCAAAUCAUCAUGCCCUUUAUGACCUGGGCUACACACGUGCUACAAUGGAUGGUACAGAGAGCAGCGAGGCAGCGAUGUGGAGCGAAUCUCAAAAAGCCAUUCUCAGUUCGGAUUGGAGUCUGCAACUCGACUCCAUGAAGUCGGAAUCGCUAGUAAUCGCGGAUCAGCACGCCGCGGUGAAUACGUUCCCGGGCCUU